rnacentral:misc_RNA from 1 species
GAGACAACCGAUGGAUGGACGACGUUACAGCUGCAAUGCAUGGUUGGCUUGGUUGACAGCACAGCACAGAUUUUGGAAUUAAAGGAGAUUUACGUAAUUUGUUUGUACAGAAGAAGAGAGUAGUAAUUGAUUGGGGGUGGAAGACGACACAGGUAGCAGCUGCAUGGAGUAAUUAAUAUUCUAGCUAUAUAUGGAUCGAGACGGGGGACGAAUUCGAUUAUUGAGACUGGGAGCAGACGAUAUGAUAUGAUAUGAUCAGUAGUCGGCGGUGGGCAGCUGGUCGUGCGGGCGCUGGCCGAUGAAGAUGA